rnacentral:rRNA from 1 species
CCUACGGGAGGCAGCAGUGGGGAAUUUUCCGCGAUGGGCGAAAGCCUGACGGAGCAAUACCGCGUGAGGGAUGACGGCCUAUGGGUUGUAAACCUCUUUUUUCAGGGAGGAAUAAAUGACGUGUACCUGAGGAAUAAGCAUCGGCUAACUCCGUGCCAGCAGCCGCGGUAAGACGGAGGAUGCAAGUGUUAUCCGGAAUCACUGGGCGUAAAGCGUCUGUAGGUGGUCAAAUAAGUCAACUGUUAAAUCUUGAGGCUCAACCUCAAAAUCGCAGUCGAAACUAUUAGACUAGAGUAUAGUAGGGGUAAAGGGAAUUUCCAGUGGAGCGGUGAAAUGCGUAGAGAUUGGAAAGAACACCGAUGGCGAAGGCACUUUACUGGGCUAUUACUAACACUGAGAGACGAAAGCUAGGGUAGCAAAUGGGAUUAGAUACCCCAGUAGUCCUAGCCGUAAACAAUGGAUACUAGAUGUUGAACAGAUCGACCUGUGCAGUAUCAAAGCUAACGCGUUAAGUAUCCCGCCUGGGAAGUAUGCUCGCAAGAGUGAAACUCAAAGGAAUUGACGGAA